GUAUUGAUUGCGUGUUAUCGCAAAAAUGGGGUCAUUCUACACUUUUAAAAGGGGGGGUUUGUGUGAAAACGCAAGCCCCCUCCCGGAUCAGUUUGAUCCUGAAGGGUGCCCACGCGGUGGUGCACAAAAGGGUGAGAUGGAUUUAAUGUGAGAGGACACACUCUGACGUGCACGACUUUUGUGUUAAAAGUCAGCGACAGCCCUUGCGUGCCUCACACAUUUUGUACGAUAAUGAUCCUUCCGCAGGUUCACCUACGGAAA
rnacentral:misc_RNA from 1 species